CACUACUAAUGUGGGAUGCUAAAGAGAUAAGUGGAGAGUUUUCCUCCACCAUCAAAAGGUGCUGAGGAAGGAAGUUUGGAAGAAUCUCUUUUUUCUGUUUGCAUCCCUAUCGGGACGUCAGCUGGCAGAGGCAUGACAGCCUUUCAGGGGAAGGAAUAUUCUGCAGGCUAUCAUGCAGUGGAGUCCAAGUAUUGCAGUUCCAGGAGUAAGAAGGUGCUGUUUCACAGCAAGGAUGUUGGCUAUUUCUAAAAGGAGGAAAAACAGGCCUGAACAGAGACGAGAUGCUGCUGGAAACCAAUGCAUUAACAACUCCCCCGUCACCAAAAAGCCAAACCAACAACAAUUGCAAGAAAAACACACAAAAAAAGAGGUGCAGAAAAGGUGUAUCUGCUCAGGAAUGAUGUGGUUUUAGGACUGGCUGCUGCUGGCUGUAAGCCACACCAGCCGCCUGUCCCAGUGGCUGAUACAGAUACUUAAUGAGCAGUGAUGUGUCUCAAUGGAUUAAAUCAGUGGAAGGUGGUAAAAGAGAUUGUCAGUUGCACAGAGGUGGUGUUUGGACUGAAAUUUGUCCUAAAACUAACAUUUUCAAAAGGUACAAUAAUUGUCUACUCGUAUUGAAAUGUUACUAUUGAGAAUACUCAUUUGCAAGAGAACAAGACAUUUGAAGAAGAGUGAGAUGGUUAUGUACUAAUUAAAUAACUGAUAUUUAGUAUUAAAGGCAAUGCAAAAAUAUUGACUUUGCCACCUUGAGGACAAACUUUACCCCUUUUUCUUCACGUAGACAGUUAUUCAUGUAGACUUUUUAAUACAAGUAAGAACUUUCAAACCUCUGUUAAAAUAUCUCUCUCUCUCUUUUGGAGCCACACAAACCUGAAACUGUUGAAGACCAGCUAACUGGUCUACUCAAUUCCUGGUACCUGGUAUCUGACAAAAUAAAAGGACAAUAUUUAAUGAA